rnacentral:rRNA from 1 species
GGUUUAAUUCGAAGCAACGCGAAGAACCUUACCAGGCCUUGACAUGCAGAGAACUUUCCAGAGAUGGAUUGGUGCCUUCGGGAACUCUGACACAGGUGCUGCAUGGCUGUCGUCAGCUCGUGUCGUGAGAUGUUGGGUUAAGUCCCGUAACGAGCGCAACCCUUGUCCUUAGUUACCAGCACGUUAAGGUGGGCACUCUAAGGAGACUGCCGGUGACAACGGAG